UUGAACGCUGGCGGCAUGCUUUACACAUGCAAGUCGAACGGUAACAGGGAGCUUGCUCCGCUGACGAGUGGCGAACGGGUGAGUAAUACAUCGGAACGUGCCCGAUCGUGGGGGAUAACGCAGCGAAAGCUGUGCUAAUACCGCAUACGAUCUACGGAUGAAAGCAGGGGACCGCAAGGCCUUGCGCGGACGGAGCGGCCGAUGGCAGAUUAGGUAGUUGGUGGGAUAAAAGCUUACCAAGCCGACGAUCUGUAGCUGGUCUGAGAGGACGACCAGCCACACUGGGACUGAGACACGGCCCAGACUCCUACGGGAGGCAGCAGUGGGGAAUUUUGGACAAUGGGCGAAAGCCUGAUCCAGCCAUGCCGCGUGCAGGAUGAAGGCCUUCGGGUUGUAAACUGCUUUUGUACGGAACGAAAAAGUCUUCUCUAAUACAGGGGGCGAAUGACGGUACCGUAAGAAUAAGCACCGGCUAACUACGU
rnacentral:rRNA from 1 species